CACCUUCUGAUAUCCUGUACUCAUUAUCAACUUUACCAUGCCCGCCGUAACAUCUGAUGCCAGCAGAAUUGUUGAUUAUGAGUCUGCAACCUCAUUUCUGGGAGAAUGGGGACCUUUCCAGCAGCGGGUGUUUUUCCUGCUCUGCCUGAGCUUCAUCCCUAACGGACUCACGGCGCUGUCCAUGGUGUUUCUGGGGGGCACGCCGGCGCACCGCUGCAUGCUGCCUGCGCACCUGAACCUCAGCGCCGCAUGGAGAAACAGCAGCAUCCCGCUGGAGGAGGAUGCGAGCCGCGGCGGGGAUCUAGUGCCCAGCAAAUGCUUCAGAUACAAACUGGAGCAUUUAAUGAAUUAUUCGGAAACAGGUUUGCUACCUGGAGUGGACGUGAACCUUUCUAAUGUGCCGAAAGAAGGCUGCUUGGACGGAUGGGAGUUUGACCACAGCUUGUAUACAUCUACUAUUGUGACUGAGUGGAACCUGGUGUGUGGUGAAAGCUGGAAGAAGCCAUUCAGUUCUUCUAUGUAUUUCGGUGGUAUUCUUGCAGGCUCCUUCAUUUCUGGACAACUCUCUGACAGAUUUGGAAGGAAACCAAUAAUGUUUGCCACCAUAGCACUACAAGUCGUGAUCACACUGAUCCAGAUUUUCUCUUCAAGCUGGAUCAUGUUUGUUGCCUUAUAUUUUCUUCUUGGACUAGUGCAAAUUUCCAACUAUCUGGUUGCAUUUGUUCUAGGAUCAGAACUUUUAGGCCCAAUGGUCCGAACAUUAUUUUCCACUGCAGGGGUGUGUUUGUUCUUUGCUUUGGGCUAUAUGCUUCUACCCCUGCUGGCAUUCUUCUUGAGAGACUGGAGGUUGCUUCAAGUCACCUUCAUGUUGGCAGGUUGCGUUUGUCUCCCUCUUUUCUGGUUCAUUUCAGAGUCUCCUCGGUGGUUGCUUUCCCAGGGUAAAGUAGAGGAAGCUGAGGCCAUAAUCAGAAACGCCGCCAAACUAAACAAGAUUGAACCACCAGCUCUCAUCUUUAGCCCACUAAUGGAUGGAAGCAAGAAUGAAAAAAAAAAGGCCCACAACAUCUGUGACCUUCUUCGUUUUCCAAACAUCCGAUGGCUCUCUGUCACAAUGUGGCUCAUCUGGAAUACCCUCACUGUUGCCUACUACGCUCUUUCUUUGAACACUGCAAACCUGCAUGGAAAUCCUUUCUUCAACUGUUUCCUGUCAGCUGUGGUAGAGGUUCCGGCCUAUGGUUUGUCAUGGGUUAUGUUCCGCUGGUGUUCCAGACGGCUCAGUCUUAGCUCAGCGCUUUUUGCAGGAGGAUUCUUUAUAUUCAUCACACAGCUAAUACCACCACACUUGCCUGCUCUCUCCAUAACAUUUGAGAUGAUGGGGAAGUUUGCAGUAUCGACUGCAUUUGCUGUCAUUUUUGCUUACACAGCAGAGCUGUACCCAACUGUACUUAGGAACACAGCUAUUGGUGCUUCCUCAACGGCCUCCAGAAUAGGCAGUAUUGUAGCACCAUACUUCAUUUACUUGGGAACAUAUUCUGUUUCCCUGCCUUACAUCCUUAUUGGAAGUCUCACAGCUUUGACUGGACUGAUUAGCCUCCUUCUCCCUGAGAGCUUUGGAAUGCCUCUGCCGGACACCAUCAGCCAUAUGCAAAGCUUUCCUGGAUGCUUUCAGAAGAGAACUUAUGGCCUCACCAAUACUAAAGAAGAGGAAAAUGCAGAUGAAGAUAAUUCUCUGGACAUUAAAAACUAACAUGAUUAUUGCUGGCUAUAAAUUCUGUUCACAUCUCUGAAACAGAAACUGCACAGAAAGACAAUAAAUAACUUUAAAAGCAUGGUCCUCUUGCCUUUUAUGCAGUAUGAUUUCAUCCAUUCUCCAAUAAAUAAUGGAUUUGUAAACAA